GCGGGCGUAGUUCAGAGGCAGAAUGUCAGCUUCCCAAGCUGAAGACGCGGGUUCGAUUCCCGUCGCCCGCU
rnacentral:tRNA from 1 species